GAGUUUGAUCCUGGCUCAGAUUGAACGCUGGCGGCAUGCCUAACACAUGCAAGUCGAACGGUAGCAGGCCUUCGGGUGCUGACGAGUGGCGGACGGGUGAGUAAUGCGUAGGAAUCUGUCUUUUAGUGGGGGACAACCCAGGGAAACUUGGGCUAAUACCGCAUGAGCCCUGAGGGGGAAAGCGGGGGAUCUUCGGACCUCGCGCUAAGGGAAGAGCCUACGUCUGAUUAGCUAGUUGGUAGGGUAAAGGCCUACCAAGGCGACGAUCAGUAGCUGGUCUGAGAGGACGACCAGCCACACUGGGACUGAGACACGGCCCAGACUCCUACGGGAGGCAGCAGUGGGGAAUUUCUCGCAAUGGGGGCAACCCUGACGAAGCAAUGCCGCGUGGAUGAAGAAGGCCUUCGGGUUGUAAAGUCCUUUCGUGGGGGACGAAAAGGUGGUUCCUAAUACGAGCUGCUGUUGACGUGAACCCAAGAAGAAGCACCGGCUAACUCCGUGCCAGCAGCCGCGGUAAUACAGGGGGUGCAAGCGUUAAUCGGAAUCACUGGGCGUAAAGG
rnacentral:rRNA from 1 species